rnacentral:rRNA from 1 species
GACGAACGCUGGCGGCGUGCUUAACACAUGCAAGUCGAACGGAAAGGUCCUGCUUGCAGGGUACUCGAGUGGCGAACGGGUGAGUAACACGUGGGUGAUCUGCCCUGCACUUCGGGAUAAGCCUGGGAAACUGGGUCUAAUACCGGAUAGGAGCCAUUUUUAGUGUGAUGGUUGGAAAGUUUUUUCGGUGUAGGAUGAGCUCGCGGCCUAUCAGCUUGUUGGUGGGGUAAUGGCCUACCAAGGCGGCGACGGGUAGCCGGCCUGAGAGGGUGGACGGCCACAUUGGGACUGAGAUACGGCCCAGACUCCUACGGGAGGCAGCAGUGGGGAAUAUUGCACAAUGGGCGCAAGCCUGAUGCAGCGACGCCGCGUGGGGGAUGACGGCCUUCGGGUUGUAAACUCCUUUCGCUAGGGACGAAGCUUUUUGUGACGGUACCUAGAUAAGAAGCACCGGCUAACUACGUG